rnacentral:rRNA from 1 species
UACGUAGGGAGCAAGCGUUGUUCGGAAUCAUUGGGCGUAAAGCGCGUGUAGGCGGCUUGGUAAGUCUGCUCUGAAAGCCCGGGGCUCAACCCCGGGAGGCGGGUGGAUACUGCCGAGCUCGAGUCCGGAAGAGGCGAGUGGAAUUCCUGGUGUAGCGGUGAAAUGCGUAGAUAUCUGGAGGAACACCGGUGGCGAAGGCGGCAUUCUGGACCGAUAUUGACGCUGAGGAGCGAAAGCCAGGGGAGCAAACGGG